rnacentral:lncRNA from 10 species
ACACAAGAACUCCAAACACCUGAACCGCAGCUGCCAGGGGUUCCUCCAGAACCUCCUCCCCCUGGAGCUUGCUACAAGUGCCAGAAAUCUGGCCACUGGGCCAAGGAAUGCCCACAGCCCGGGAUUUCUCCUAAGCUGUGUCCCAUCUGUGCAGGACCCCACUGAAAAUCGGACUGUUCAACUCACCUGGCAGCCACUUCCAGAGCCCCUGGAACUCUGGCCCAAGGCUCUCUGACUGACUCCUUCCCAGAUCUUCUCGGUUUAGCAGCUGAAGACUGACACUGCCCGAUCGCCUCAGAGGCCUACAGGGCCAUCACAGAUGCUCUAGGUAACUCUCAAAGUGGAAGGUAAGUCCGUCCCCUUGUUAACCAAUACGGAGGCUACCCACUCCACAUUACCUUCUUUUCAAGGGCCUGUUUCCCUUGCCUCCAUACCUAUUGUGGGUAUUGACGGCCAGGCUUCUAAACCUCUUAAAACUCCCCAACUCUGGUGCCAACUUAGGCAAUACCUUUUAAGCACUUCUUUUUAGUUAUCCCCACCUGCCCUGUUCCCCUAUCAGGCCGAGACACUUUAACUAAAUUAUCUGCUUCUCUGACUAUUCCUGGGGUACAGC